GUGGGUGUAGCUCAGUUUGGUUAGAGCGCCAGGUUGUGGCCCUGGAGGUCGCGGGUUCGAAUCCCGUCAUCCACCCCA
rnacentral:tRNA from 1 species